GCCAGACUCCUACGGGAGGCAGCAGUGGGGGAUAUUGCACAAUGGGGGGAACCCUGAUGCAGCGACGCCGCGUGGGUGAAGAAGCGCCUCGGCGCGUAAAGCCCUGUCAGCAGGGAAGAAAAUGACGGUACCUGACUAAGAAGCCCCGGCUAACUACGUGCCAGCAGCCGCGGUAAUACGUAGGGGGCAAGCGUUAUCCGGAUUUACUGGGUGUAAAGGGAGCGUAGACGGCGGUGCAAGCCAGAUGUGAAAGCCCGGGGCUCAACCCCGGGACUGCAUUUGGAACUGUGCUGCUAGAGUGUCGGAGAGGCAGGCGGAAUUCCUAGUGUAGCGGUGAAAUGCGUAGAUAUUAGGAGGAACACCAGUGGCGAAGGCGGCCUGCUGGACUGCAACUGACGUUGAGGCCCGAAAGCGUGGGGAGCAAACAGGAUUAGAUACCCGGGUAC
rnacentral:rRNA from 1 species